UAGUACAGCCAAUGUUUGCUUC
rnacentral:miRNA from 1 species